rnacentral:lncRNA from 1 species
UGCUAAACAACAAUAAAAAAUUAAAGCGAAAAGCUUCCAUAGAAAUUUGUGCCGAACAAUUAGGGAUACACAUGCAACGCACGUGUCCCCAAUAAGCGUUGUAUGCAUAUCAUCUCCAAAAUACCCUUAUUAUAUGCCAUCACCUUUUCAUUAAUAAUGGGAACAUUUUUGACAUUUCACAAAAGAGGCCCCCCAACCAAAUCCAGCAAUCUCCCCUCCUCUUCGUCAAGCUCCAAACCUGUCCUUUUUAGCAAUCCCUUUUUUUUUAAUCUCUAAAUCUUCGUUCUUAACAGAUGCUAUAAUUUAUUAAUGUUUAGCAUUUUCCAUUGAAAUCAAAUUGAAUGGAAAAAAUGGAAGAAAAAGAUGAAACCCAAUUGAAAAGGUAAAUGAGAAGAAAAUACAAAGGUGCCUGCAAUUGAGAAAUUAAGAAAACAGUCAACUCCAUCUGUUCUGGACAUUCCUUGCUCUAUGCAGUAGCAAUACUCUUCCCCUCUGUCGAUUUCUCUGAAAGACUCGUUGUUUCAAUGCCCAAUUAUUUAUUUGUGUCAAUGCUUAGAAUGAGAACAUACUAUGAGCACAAAUUGUUCUUCUGAAAUGUAGUGGACAUUGCAUCAAAGAUCUGGCUUCGUCAAAUGCGAAUUGCAAGAAGAAAAUGAUAAUUUUGGUGAAAGACAAAAAUUUCCAUAUAUUUAAUGUGAAUGACAUGAA